GGUAAUAUACUUUAUGUAGAAGAUCUAGUUUGCAUCUAGAAAGAGGUAUUUAUACCUUUUACCA
rnacentral:tRNA from 1 species